UCUUCAAGUCUGUUUUUACACUCCUCCGUAGCUCCUCAUGUGUUUCUUCCACCCUCCCCUUCUCCUCACACUCCUCUGUCUCUCUCUCUCACACAUUCUCUCUCCCUCUCCAGCACUCCCUCUCACUUCUCUCCUCAGAAAUACUGUCUGUGGAGCACCUCUUCUGUUUGCAGCAGUGAAUAAGGCACCAUGCCGGGACUGAGGGACCAGACGGCACUUUCAGUUCUCUGUCUGUCCCUGCUGGUUCGCUUCUGGACUGUAAACGGACUGACAGACCACAGCAGCUCAGAGAUCAGCCACACAGCCUCAGAGCAACAUGUGGAGAACAGAAGCGCAACAACUGGAGCAGAUCUUCUGCAAGUGAAGAUAAUCCCACUCUAUGCAAAGAUUCAUGUUGGACAACACAAACGAUUGUUAUGCAAAGUUGAUGGGGGUGCAGAGGAGAUCGCCUGGUUUUCUCCUAAUGGUGAGAAGAUUCUAACAAAACGUGACAAUCUCGAGGUGCGCAGUCAUGGCAAUUCCUUGUCCUCUCUCAUUGUUCUCAAUGCCAAUUUAAACAAUGCUGGGAUAUACAAAUGUGUGGCCAGAAAUUGGGACACAGAAUCACAAGCUACGGCCAAGCUGUACAUCCUUUCAAAGAGAAUGCGUCGAGAAACUGAGAGGGAAGGAAGAGGAAAACGACAGAAAGAGCCCAAGGCCACCAAGAAGCCCAAAGCUCCCAAGCCCACCAAGAAACCCAAGGGUGAGAAGAAGAAGAACAAAGGAGAGAAGGGUGGGAAGAAGAAAGGCAAGAAGAACAGGGAGGAGACCACCACGAUCACCACCACCACCACCACUGUGGCUCCCACAACCACUGUGCCCAUUGAGUAUGAAGAGGAGUUUUAUGGCCCUGAAACGGACCAGUACUGGGAUGAAGAAUUUCCUGCAGAGACAACAACAGCGGCAAAGCCUACAAACCCCCCGAUUGAGAAAACCACAGAAUUUCCAACAGACUUUCCUCCUGACACAGACGAGUAUUCCCCACCUUACCCUGACUCAUACGAUGACUAUUGGAAGGUGGAUGAACCCACACCUACAACCUCAGUGAUCGCUGGCCGUCCACCUGAUGAUGAUGUUGAUUACUGGGAUGCCAGAUAUGAGGUGGCAGAAAACAUGCCUUUCCCUGAUGGCAAAGAGAUCAGCUCUACUGACAAUGACUGGCAUUACACUACCACAGAGGAGCCCACCGUCCCUCCAUUUGAAAACAGCUGGUAUGAAGAAUAUGAAUAUGGACAUGAAAAGAAACUGGAAGAGGAGACGGAAAGAGAGAGAGAAAGAGAAAGAAAAGAGCAAGAGGCAAAAGAAAGAGAAGAGAGGAGGCAUGAGGAAGAGGAGGAGAGAGAACCCAGGAUUUACAGACCUCCGCCACGCGUGUACAGAGAGCCUAAAAUUUGUCCUCCUCUGGGUAUGGAGUCUCACCGCAUAGAGAAUGACCAGCUGCUGACUUCCUCUGUUUAUCAACAUCGCUAUGGCUCACACAGAGCUCGUCUCAAUAUUCAGGCGUCUGGGGAUGAAGAUGAUAUGAAUGGUGGGUCAUGGUGUGCUAACUCUGAAGAGAAAGUCCACUGGAUUGAACUGGACGCUCGCACACUAACAGAGUUCACUGGCGUUAUCACUCAGGGUCGAGAUGACCCCUUAGAGAGCGAUUAUGUGUCUUCUUACUAUGUGGCGUUUAGUAAUGACAGCAGAGAGUGGACUGUCCUUCAUGAUGGAUAUGCUGAAUGGUUAUUCUUUGGUAACUCCGAUAAAAACACACCAGUGUUGUCUCAGUUUAUGGAGCCGGUAGUGGCACGUUAUAUACGCAUCUUGCCACAGAGCUGGAAUGGCACCAUGUGUAUGAGGAUGGAGGUUUUGGGCUGCCCAGUACCAGAUCCUUUAAGCCAGUACCAUAGUCAGAAUGAAGUGACGCAUCGAGAUGACUUGGACUACACCCAUCACAACUACCUCGACAUGGAGAAGCUCAUGAAAUCCAUCUCUGAUGAGUGUCCCAACAUCACCAGAUUGUACAGUUUGGGCAAGAGCUUUAAAGGUCUGGAAAUUUAUGCCAUGGAGAUUACUGAUAAUCCUGGGAUGCAUGAAACAGGAGAGCCAGAGUUCAGGUACACAGCAGGUUAUCAUGGUAAUGAGGCUUUGGGACGAGAGCUUCUUCUGAUGCUUAUGCAGUACCUGUGUAGAGAGUACAAAGAUGGCAACCCUCGAGUCCGCCACCUUGUGGAUGAGACACGAAUUCAUCUGGUGCCAUCAGUUAAUCCUGAUGGUCAUAUGAAAGCUUUUGAAAAGGGCUCUGAGUUGGGCAGCUGGACAUUAGGGCACUGGACUGAAGAUGGCCAUGACAUAUUCCAGAAUUUUCCAGACUUAAAUAACAUUCUUUGGGAUGCAGAAGAUAAGGGCAUGGUGCCCAAAUUAAUAUCAAAUCACCAUGUACCCAUCCCUGAGGGUAUUCUGUCAAGCAAUGGCUCAGUUGCAGUGGAGACUCUUGCCCUUAUCUCCUGGAUGGAGAGCCAUCCAUUUGUGCUUGGUGCCAACCUGCAGGGUGGCGAGAGACUGGUGACAUACCCCUUUGACAUGCGCCGGCUCACCAAGGAGUCUGAGGAGAUGGAGAAAAAACUAAACUCUAGAGCAAACAGACGUAAGCGACAGUAUGAGGAAGAGGAAGAAGAAGAACCCAACCCUUACCUUCACACUGGAUACCAUCAGGAGAGCUACAGUGGCCCUCAUGAAAACCAUGCAUAUCAUCAAGAGAACUAUGGGUACCAUCAAGAAAGUUAUGGGUAUCACCAUCAAAACCAAGGAUAUCAUGAGGAGAGCCAAGGAUAUCAUGAGGAGAGCCAAGGAUAUCAUGACGAGAGCCAAGGAUAUCAUGACGAGAGCCAAGGGUACCAUGAUGAGAACCAAAGGUACCAUCAUGAGGGUCACUCUGAAGGAUACCAUGAGGGUUAUCAUCAAGAAGGAUACUCAGAGGGGUACAGGGAGGGAUAUGGAGAAGGUGAACCAGAAGAGGAGAUCAGAGUGAUUGAGGACCAAUCUAUGUUCCGCUGGUUGGCCAUAUCUUAUGCCUCUACUCACCGCACUAUGACUCAAACCUAUCAGGGAGGAUGCCAUACUGAUGACCCAACAGGUGGGAUGGGAAUUGUCAACUGUGCCAAGUGGAAGCCCAUUCCAGGAAGUAUGAAUGACUUCAGCUACCUUCACACUAACUGUUUUGAGCUGUCCAUUUUCCUGGGCUGUGAUAAGUUCCCUCAUCAGAGUGAACUUUUAAGAGAGUGGGAGCAUAACAAAGAGGCCCUGCUGACCUUCAUGGCUCAGGUGCAUCGGGGCAUUAAGGGAGUUGUGAGGGAUAAGGAGGGCAACCCUAUUUCCAAUGCCACCUUGUCUGUGGAGGGAGUCAACCAUGACAUUAGGACAGGUGAAUCUGGAGAUUACUGGCGACUUCUAAAUCCCGGUGAGUACCGUGUAACAGCCCGAGCAGAAGGCUACUCCCCCUUCACCCGUCUAUGUGUGGUAGGGUUCGACCCAGGCGCUACCUUGUGCAACUUUGACCUCAACAAAUCUAACUGGGACCGCAUCAAACAGAUCAUGGCUCUACAUGGCAAUAGACCCAUCCGAUUGCUGAGCAGUGGCAACAGGGGUAGUGGACAACGCUAUACAUACAGCACUAACCAAAUCCCAAAUUCUAAAUUCAGUAACCAAAUUCUUAACGGUAAUGGUGGGGACAAUAGAAGGGCUCGUCUUCGUCGAUUACGGCUAAUGAGAAUCCGCCGCCUAAGGCAACAGAGGCUUCUAGCCAGCAAAACAACAACACCACCUACCACAACCAUGAUGACCACAACUACAGUUCCACUUACCAUAGAGAGUACAACUCCCUGGUAUGACUCUUGGCCACUUGGGGAAAUUUUUGAAGAGAACACAACCCCACCAGAAGAGAUUAAGUUGACCGAUGCACUGGACUACAACUACAAUUACAAGAUAGAUGAUUAUUAAGAGCAAACUACAGAUCAAAGUUUUGCUCCAGAGAUUGAUUGUUUUGGACUAGUAUAGGUCAUUGUUGCCAUGCUUUUGCGCCUUGGUUUGAUUGGAUCUGGAAGAGAUAUGAGCAAAGAGGAGUCACAUGUAGAAUCAAAGAAUUCUGGCAACACUAAAUAAGCUUUGCACAGUUUUGAAGUAAUUACAGAAGAUUUUUAUUCCAGAAUAUAAAUUUUCAAAUUUACCUUGAUUAUUAACACUUCUUUUUCUGGUUGCAAAGCUGGUUGGAGGCAUCACUUAAUGGUUUGCAAAGACUUAGAAGUAGUAAGAAUAAUCAUGCUGUGUAUUCAUGGCUAAACAUCUGUACUAUACUACCAAAAUGUAACAUAAAAACUUCUCAUAUGACCAUCAUGCCCACUGAGGGGAAAUGAGAAUGUUUUAAUGCAAGAGAAGUGGUUGUAUUACCAUUUCUACCUUUCUCUCACAUAAACAGUCAGUGUUUGUUGAAGGCAAGUGUACAAGGGAGAUUUUCCCUCAAAGUUCCACCAUGUUUAAUGGUCUGUUCUAAAAGAUGGUUUCUUUCCAGUAAAUAAAGUCUUUUCAUAUUCA